CAUUUAUUGAGCAUUUGUUAUCUUCCAGAU
rnacentral:piRNA from 2 species